rnacentral:rRNA from 1 species
UUUAGACUAAACAGCACACCAUAGCCAACCUAUUAGACUAAAACAUAUUCGACCGGGGUACAGCCCUGCCGAACAAGGAUACAACCUAUUCUAGCGGAUCAGAACUAGAACACACCAACAGUGGGCCUUAAAGCCGCCACCAAUAAACAACGCGUCAUAGCACAAUACUACAGAUACGAACAAUCUAACCAAACCCCUAGUAAAUAACUGAGCCACACUAUACAAAUAGCAGCACUUAUGCUAAAACUAGUAACAAGAAAACUUCUCUCAGCACCCCCGUGCCCCAGAAAUAGAACCUCUACUGGACAUUAACAGACCAAACAAGGAACACUAGAACUGUCAAACCAACACCGGCGUGCCAUUAAAGAAGGUUAAAAACCACAUAAGGAACUCAGCAACACCCUGUCCCAACUGUUUACCAAAAACACAGCCUUUAGCCAAACAAGUAUUAAAGGUGCUGCCUGCCCAGUGAAGCAUUUUAAACGGCCGCGGUAUCCUAACCGUGCAAAGGUAGCGUAAUCACUUGUCUUUUAAAUAAAGACUUGUAUGAACGGCUAAAUGAGGACAGACCUGUCUCUUGUAGUCAACCAGUGAAACUGAUCUUUAAGUACAAAAGCUUAAAUAAAUACAUAAGACGAGAAGACCCGUGGAGCUUAAACAAAUACUAUUACACCCAAAAUAGCAUGCGUUUUAGUUGGGGCGACUUCGGAACUAAGCCAAACUUCCGAGCACAGAGCCCACCGCUCUCUCCAAGAUUAACAAGUCAAAGGAAAUACGACCCAGUCACACUGAACAACGAACCAAGUUACCCCAGGGAUAACAGCGCUAUCUUCUUCAAGAGUCCCUAUCGACAAGAAGGUUUACGACCUCGAUGUUGGAUCAGGACACCCAAAUGGUGCAACCGCUAUUAAAGGUUCGUUUGUU